GUAUUGUGAAUGAAAGGUGAAAAGAAUACCGAAAGGUAGGUGAAACAGCUUUGCUUGUACAUUAUUCAUUUCAAGUCACAUAACACAUAAGAUCACAUCACAUUAGCAACUUAUCAUCCUACAUCACUAAUAUAACUGCUUGUGGAAGAAAGAAUUGUCGAAUUUCAAUCACCACACUAUAAAGUGUUUAAAGCCCGAAUACUGGCGAUCUAACUAUGGGAUAAUCCUUUUCACACUAUGAGUCUAUUGAAGAUUAAAAUGCUCAGGGGUACACACCUGCCAUCCAACCAAUAGUUAGCAGUUAAAUUUUAUACGAGCCAAUGUUAAUAUCUGGAUCUGUUCGAAAGAAAUAAUGCUGUCUAAUAGAUGCAACUUACAACUAUACUUGUAAAAUGUGGGCCUCAUUAACCUUGCUGCAAAUAAGAUUCAUCGUCCUAAGCAUACAUCAUUCGCAAUUUCGUUAAGAUGGGUGUUCGCUUAUGUAACAAAUGGGAAAAGCCCAAAUAAAUAGCUAAAGUUCUGUCUUAAAUCAAAUUCAACAAGCAACUUAUCACAAAUAACUCAAAAGUAGGAUUAAUAGGAUCCAUCUUUUUAAAAGUGUGUAGCAUCUUAUGAGCUAAAUUAUCC
rnacentral:rRNA from 1 species